GUCCACGCCGUAAACGAUGUGUGCUAGACGUCGGGCAGCUUGCUGUUCGGUGUCGCAGCUAACGCGUUAAGCACACCGCCUGGGGAGUACGGCCGCAAGGCUAAAACUCAAAGGAAUUGACGGGGGCCCGCACAAGCGGUGGAGCAUGUGGUUUAAUUCGAUGCAACGCGAAGAACCUUACCAGCCCUUGACAUCCCGGUCGCGGUUUCCAGAGACGGAUUCCUUCAGUUCGGCUGGACCGGU
rnacentral:rRNA from 1 species